GGUCUGUUGUGGAAAGUUAAAUACAAGCCGGAGUGGGCAGAAGGCAGGAUCAACAGAGACAUAGUUAAAAUGCACUUGCAGAAGUGACUUCAGGAGGAGGCCUUCUGCAGCUUACAGUCUCUGUCCCUUUGUUUUUGGAGCCUCACAUAGAGGAAAAUGGAUCCCAGACUCCAGCUGGGACACGUCCCAGGCUCACUCUUGCGCCAAGGAAACAGUGGGCAGCUUGGAGGGGAGCUGCCAAAUUCAAACCAUGUCUUGAGCUCUCUGUACAUCCAAGAUGAGCUCUCACAAGACUAGGUUUCAUGCCAUCUGCAUCAGGACCUUCUGCUUCCAACCAGGCUGGACAACCUGAGGGACAGCUGUCUGGGACUUUUGGAGCCUCUGCUUCCCAUCCUGGCGAGGGGACACGGGUGGAGGGACAGAUUUGCUGGAAGAAAAAGGAGGCAAGUGACUGAAUGGAGAGGAGGGUGGCUGAGGUUAACUGCUUUCUCGUGUCGGUCCCCUGGAUCUUCUUGUCAGUGCGAUAACAGCUGGAUCUCCCAGGAAGGUCCUGGCUGUGUAUACAACGAAUCAAAUCUUGUCACCUUCCACGUAAACACUAUUUUUCACGUGGUGGUACUCUUGGGCAUCGCUUUUUGUCCCCUUAUGAGCAGGCAAGACUCUCUGCUGCUCCAGAAGGCCUCAGAGAGCACCAGCCAAGAGUUUGUCUUGUCUUGUCUGGCAGCAUGAUGAAAUGGACUUUUCCAGUAUGUUUCAUCUGGAUUUGAUGAUUUUAUGCCUGGAGUUCAACUUUCAUUCACUUUACUCGCCAUGAUUAACACUGAGAGUGAGGUCCUGGACUCCUGGAAGUCAGCAGAAGUUUUCAUGCUG